rnacentral:rRNA from 1 species
GACGAACGCUGGCGGCGUGCCUAAUACAUGCAAGUUGAGCGCUGAAGGUUGGUACUUGUACCAACUGGAUGAGCAGCGAACGGGUGAGUAACGCGUGGGGAAUCUGCCUUUGAGCGGGGGACAACAUUUGGAAACGAAUGCUAAUACCGCAUAAAAACUUUAAACACAAGUUUUAAGUUUGAAAGAUGCAAUUGCAUCACUCAAAGAUGAUCCCGCGUUGUAUUAGCUAGUUGGUGAGGUAAAGGCUCACCAAGGCGAUGAUACAUAGCCGAACUGAGAGGGUGAUCGGCCACAUUGGGACUGAGACACGGCCCAAACUCCUACGGGAGGCAGCAGGAGGGAAUCUUCGGCAAUGGACGAAAGUCUGACCGAGCAACGCCGCGGGAGUGAAGAAGGUUUUCGGAUCGUAAAACUCUGUUGGUAGAGAAGAACGUUGGUGAGAGUGGAAAGCUCAUCAAGUGACGGUAACUACCCAGAAAGGGACGGCUAACUACGUG